CCUUAUCACUUUUCCUGCCAGCUUUCUCAUGGUAACCGUUGGACGGAGAACUGAUAAGGGU
rnacentral:pre_miRNA from 1 species